rnacentral:rRNA from 1 species
CAGCCACGCCGCGUGGGUGAUGAAGGCCUUCGGGUUGUAAAGACCCUGUCGGAGGGGGACGGAAGUCUUCGGAUUGACGGUACCUUCCAAGAAAGCACCGGCUAACUCCGUGCCAGCAGCCGCGGUAAUACGGAGGGUGCAAGCGUUGCUCGGAAUUACUGGGCGUAAAGCGUACGCAGGCGGUCUGAUAAGUCGGGUGUGAAAGCCCCGGGCUCAACCCGGGAACUGCAUUCGAAACUGCCAGACUUGAGUUUGGGGAGAGGGGAAGUGGAAUUCCUGGUGUAGAGGUGAAAUUCGUUGAUAUCAGGAGGAACACCGGCGGCGAAAGCGGCUUCCUGGCCCGAUACUGACGCUCAUGUACGAAAGCGUGGGGAGCAAAACAGGAUUAGAUACCCUGGUAGUCCACGCCGUAAACGAUGAGUGCUAGAUGUUGGAGGUAUUCACCCCUUCAGUGUCGAAGCUAACGCAUUAAGCACUCCGCCUGGGGAGUACGGCCGCAAGGUUAAAACU